CGUUCUAAUGGCGGCAAGCCUGAACGAGCGAUGCCGCGUGAGUGAAGAAGGCCUUCGGGUCGUAAAGCUCUGUUGCGGGGGAAAAAAGGCAGCAUCAGGAAAUGGGUGCUGACUGAUGGUGCCCCGCCAGAAAGUCACGGCUAACUACGUGCC
rnacentral:rRNA from 1 species